AUUGAACGCUGGCGGCAGGCUUAACACAUGCAAGUCGAACGAUAGGCGGACGGGAGUGUAAUGCUUGGGAAUCUGGCUUAUGGAUGGGGAUAACGACGGGAAACUGUCGCUAAUACCGCGUACCAUAAGCUGAGCCCAAGUGGGAUGUGGUAGUUGGUGGGGUAAUGGCCUACCAAGCCGAUGACCUCUAACUGGUCUGAGAGGAUGACCAGCAACCCCGGAACUGAGACACGGCCCGGAUUCCUACGGGAGGCAGCAGGGGGGAAUAUUGCGCAAUGGGGGCAACCGGACGCAGCCAGGCCGCGUGAGUGAAGAAGGCCUUCGGGUUGUAAAGUUCUUUCAGUGACGAGGCGUUAAUCACAGAAGAAGCACCGGCUAACUCCGUGCCAGCAGCCGCGGUAAUAC
rnacentral:rRNA from 1 species